rnacentral:rRNA from 1 species
CCGACUGUCUAAUUAAAACAAAGCAUUGCGAGGGCCGCUGGUCGGUGCUGACGCAAUGUGAUUUCUGCCCAGUGCUCUGAAUGUCAACGUGAAAAAAUUCAAAAAAUCGCGGGUAAACGGCGGGAGUAACUAUGACUCUUUUGUGGCUAUAACUCUCUUGUUGGGUUGGGAGAGUCGAUGGUUACGAG